AUCACUAUCGCUGCCUCUUCCUUCUUCCGUUCCCAGCGGCGCUCGCCCUUCCUCCUGCCAUCUGUGACCCGAACCCGCUGUGGCGCGCCCUUCACAGGAGGAGCCAGAGCCCAUCUAGAUGUAGUAGCCCAACCCAAUACAUGACGAGGUGCUUCAUGGAGCAAAGUGACGGGAGCGAUCGAUCUAGAUCAAUCGAUUUGGUCGUUCCCCAAUUCCCCACUGCUGCCAAUCCCUAGCGCCACCGCCGGACGCCUCCUCCAAUCAUGUGUAUCUCCUGCACCUCCUGCCGCCGGUGUUAAUCAUCUACAUACCUGGGCAUGUUCACCGCCGUUCUGGACUGAGCGUCGUCGUUGUUCCACAGGAGGCGAUGGAAGGGUGGGAGGAUGUUGCAUGGACGGAAGAUAUAUUCCCCAUGCCAUCUGACGCAGGAGAAGUGAUGGACCUAGAAAACCUGGUGAACACCCUCUCCCAGAUGCCCGACGAGACCCCAUGGUGCUCGAUGGUGAGCCGGACAAAUUCAGCGGUGGUGCCGACUGCCAAGGAUGCACGAGAGGUACACCAGUGAGGUUGUUGGACCAGAACGAUGGUAGCAGCUCAGCGGGCUUUUCUGGCUACAAGAGGAGGUAAUCCAAAGAAAUAUAUGUCCCAGCCGAUUUCUUUUUUCCCUUAUCUUGUACUGAUCAUCUAUGUACGUGUACAUAAAACUGAACCGAUGUAUGUAAGGACACUUCUUGUCGGUGUUAAUCGGUACUACUUUUCUUUCA